rnacentral:lncRNA from 1 species
CAAGAAAUGGGAGCCUCGGAACAGCCGAGGCAAUGGCCUCUAUUGAUUUCUUCCUUGGCAUUUUUGCUCAUAGCCACUACUGCCACGGCUGCUUAUGAGCCUUACAUUUAUCCCUCACCACCUCCACCGCCUUACUACUACAAGUCACCACCACCACCAGAAUAUUCUCCACCACCACCUUACUACUACAAAUCUCCACCACCACCUGAGAAGUCUCCCCCACCACCUUACUACUACAAGUCACCACCACCACCAGAAUAUUCUCCACCACCACCUUACUACUACAAAUCUCCACCACCACCUGAGAAGUCUCCCCCGCCACCUUACUACUAUCACUCACCACCUCCUCCUAAGAAGUCACCCCCACCACCUUACUACUAUAAGUCUCCGCCUCCGCCGAAGGAAUAUCCCCCACCACCUUACUACUAUCACUCACCACCUCCUCCUAAGAAGUCACCCCCACCACCUUACUACUAUAAGUCUCCGCCUCCGCCGAAGGAAUAUCCCCCGCCGCCUUACUACUACAAGUCUCCGCCCCCACCGGAGAAGUAUACCCCGCCGCCUUACUACUACAAGUCACCACCCCCACCUGUGAAGUAUCCCCCGCCACCUUACUACUACAAGUCACCGCCCCCACCGGAGAAGUAUACCCCGCCGCCUUACUACUACAAGUCACCGCCCCCACCGGAGAAGUAUACCCCGCCGCCUUACUACUACAAGUCACCACCCCAACCUGUGAAGUAUCCCCCGCCACCUUACUACUACAAGUCACCACCCCCACCGGUGAAGUAUCCCCCGCCACCUUACUACUACAAGUCACCACCCCCACCGGAGAAGUAUACCCCGCCGCCUUACUACUACAAGUCACCACCCCCACCGGAGAAGUAUCCCCCUCCACCUUACUACUACAAGUCACCACCGCCACCGAAGAAGUAUCCCCCUCCACCUUACUACUACAAGUCACCACCGCCACCAGAGAAGUAUCCUCCACCACCUUAUUAGUAGAAGUCUCCUCCACCUCCCUCUCCAUCUCCACCCCCUCCCUACUACUAUAAGUCGCCACCUCCUCCUUCUCCAUCUCGACCCCCACCAUACCAAUAUUUGUCACCUCCACCUCCUAAAGGCUACUAAAUAUACAAUGUGUUGUUGAAACAUGUGUGAUCUUAAUUAUGUAAGAAUAAGUGUAAGUUUGUAAGCUUGUUCUAUUUCUGAUUUUUUUCUUCAUCAAUGUUUUUGUGAAUAAAAGGAUUUGAGAUGGUAAAUCCAUUUGUAAGAAGUGCUGCUCAUUUUCGUUGUAAAAGUUACUGUAAGCAAUAAGAUCUCGUAAUUUAAGGUUUCAUAAAAGUUAUAUGUGCAACUAAUUUCAAUUUCAAUUGUCAUAUUUUUCACAACCACCAAGCGUAUUACUUCUUUAU